rnacentral:rRNA from 1 species
UACGUAGGGUGCGAGCGUUAAUCGGAAUUACUGGGCGUAAAGCGUGCGCAGGCGGCGCCGCAAGUCGAGUGUGAAAUCCCCGAGCUUAACUUGGGAAUUGCGCUCGAAACUGCGGUGCUGGAGUGUGGCAGAGGGAGGUGGAAUUCCACGUGUAGCGGUGAAAUGCGUAGAGAUGUGGAGGAACACCGAUGGCGAAGGCAGCCUCCUGGGCCAACACUGACGCUCAUGCAUGAAAGCGUGGGGAGCAAACAGG